rnacentral:lncRNA from 1 species
GUGAUUUUGUAUGAUCCUGUUGAAUGGUGGCUGAGCAUGUGAAAAACCUCUCUAGAAUAAGGCGAUUUUUCUGGUGUCAAUUUUUUCGGUUUGCUGCUCCGGUGCCUUCAUCCUUUCGAUGGUGGUACCAUUAGAUUGCUGCUUUCGUCUGUCCUUUUUGUUUCUUUGGUCUUUUUGAGGCUGUUAGAGUGAGAUCUGAAAUUCUAGAUCUGAUUUUCUGAAUCUAGAUCUGUUUUUUUUGGAUUUCGUUCUUCUUCCUCAUUCUUCUUGUGUAGUUGUUUGGCUGUGGGUUUGCAGUUCUUAGGGUCCCAUGUUGUCUUUUAGAUGGAGUUUGCGUUCAAUUUUGUUUAGUAGGGUGCGACGGUUUUGAAGCGACGGUUUCGUUCUCGGUGUGUCCGCUUGAGCCGGCUUUAGUUUCGUCGCUUCUAUUUCUCAUUUUGGGCAUGGUUUCUGGUUUGUGGUACUUCUUUGCGGUGUUGGUUUUGCUCUAGAGGCGUUUGUGUUUCCUUGCUCUUCUGGAUUGGAUAGUGUUUUCGGUUGUCUGGGUGCUUUGGUAUGAGUCUGGUUUCAGUUCUUGGGUUCGACUUUCGGAUGGUAUUCCGUUGCAGUGUGAUCUUCUAGUCCUUCUUUGGUGGCUCUGUGUUGCCGGGUUUGAUUCUCCGAUGUUGCAGUGGUGUCGUUCUACAGCUCUUCUCUUGCGAGGAUGUGAUCAGUUUUUGUCUGAAGAUUGCAGAAGCUGGCUCGCGAAUGUCCGCGUGUAAGAACUGUCGGGCCUCUUAGUCGUUUUCCCAUCUGAUUUCAAGGUUUUUUCCUUGAGUCUGGGCUCUGGUCGGGUGCUUCGAUUUUUUGAGGCUCUGUUUCACUUUGGUUGCUGUGCUCUGUUCCUCUGCUGUUAUAUUCUCCUUGCUGCGUUUGUGGUUGCUGGUUGAGUUCGAGGUGGGCUUUGCCUCUAGGCUUGUUGUUCUUUGGAGGCAUAUAUGCUAUCUCUUGGUUCUCAUAUUUCUCGGCUUGCUGCAGCUCCUCCUAUGUUCUUUGCGUAAGGGUGUGGUCGGCUUCGGAUCAGUUGUUUCAGAUUUAGUGCAUUGGUGUAUCCUCCCUCUCUUGCAUACUUCACUAUCUUUCUUCUUGUUUUAGAACUGUCUAGUUUUUGGCUUGAUAAAGUAUUUGGUUUUAUGACUUUGUAUUUGGGGUUCUUUCUUGUAGUCUGUCAUUUUUAUCUGUAAGUCCUUAAGUUUCCCCGGUGUUGGGGCUUUGUCUCCGGAUGGAUUUCUUUCCAUGCUGGCUAGUGGCUUGAGCUCUGUUCGUAGUUUUGAGUGUUCGACUCAAUUUCUAAUAAUAAGAUCAGAUGACAAAAAAAAAAAAAGUAUAGUUGUUCAUCUUUCUAUUCAUUUCCAGAUCUUUAUAAACCUCCACCACUCUUUUCUUCCUCUUUGAUAUAUAGUAUAAUAUUUUUCGUUUACCUAGCAUUCUUCUUCUGUGUUUGAUCAAGUAUAGUUAUGGCUUAUCAAGUAUUCUUAAUUUCUUUCUUUCAUCUCUUUUUUGUUGUUUUAGUUUGGUUUUCAAUGUUUUUAAUAGCAAAUCCCAGAUCCAUUGCUCCGGAUGUUGGCUGGUUUAAGUUGAUGGCUAGUCCCAGAUCCGGAGUUGGUUGGUCUAUAUUGAUGGCUAAUCUGGUGAUUCAAUUGGUUGGUUUAAGUUCAUAGCCAAUCCUCUGAUCCCAUUAUCUACAGUUGGUUGGUUGCCUUAAUUCAAAGGGAGUAGGCUAAAGAUUAUGUUUUUAAUUUUGAUGUUUUUGUAGUUAUUUGAUUCAAACAAAUCUUCAAAAACUAUUUGCUUUAAUGUUUUGAAUUUUCAUUAUUGAUUAUCCUUAGUUCUUCAACAAAGGAUUUAUCACACAUAAUCGAAAAUUUGUUGGCUGGUUUUAUUCAAAGGCUUUAGUCUAAGAUUAUUUUUUUAAUCAUGAAGUUUUUGGAUCACAAACAAAUAUUUAAAAUCUGUUUGCUUAAGUUUUUUAAAAUUCUUAUUCUUAAUUAUAAUUAGUUCAUUCAACAACGGAUUUAUCACUCUUAGCUAGUUCAAUCUAGUUUUAAAUUUUAAGGUUUGUGAAUUCUAAUAUGAAUUAAGUUCAAUAUGGUUUGACUAGACACUAUCUUCUAGUGUACAAUUAUAAUUCUUUUCGUUAAUUCGCUGUUUAAUGUUCAUAAGCUACUUUCAUUACAGCUUUGAUUUAGACCAAACAAAAAAAAACUACGCUCUAGGUUUCACUCUUAAAAAACUACUUUCCCUUUUCGUUUUUACGUCUUCUUCAAGUUCAGCUCUGUAAUCGGAAAUCUCGGAAAUUUGUGGCUUCCUGGUUUGAGAUUUCUCUCAGGUUAGUCAAAUUUCUGGUUGUUUAUAGUUUCUCUUUUAGAGUUUCAUCGUUUGAGAAUAUCUUGUUUCAAUAAGCUUCUUGCGUUUAUCGGUCUGUUGGUUGGGUCUUUGAGCUUCUUUUUUGUGUCAUUGAUUUUCUUGAAGGUCGAAUUUCCUCUCUGGAAAACCAGAUUAUCUGAUUUAUAACUUGGAUCUUGUAGUCUUGACUGACAUAUUUCCAUUUUUGAAUCUGCGAUUUCAGUGUUCAAAUGGUUUCUAAGUUUCUGCAAUUUUGUGUUUGUUUCUUUCUCAAUUUGUGUUUACUGUUAUUUGUACUCUUAAGUUCCUGCUUGUUUUACUAUGAUUUCAUCAAUUUUUGAUGUCUAAACUUUGAGAGUGCUCCAGAGAUGAGUUGAUGGUUGGUAUAAUGGACCGUAGAACUUGAGAAUGAGAUUUGGUUGCUUUGAUGUUUCUUAUGAUAGAGAGAAUACUUCUUUGAAGGCUUUCAUGUCUUGUAUAUAGUUCGCUGUGAAUGUUGCUUGUCUUUGAUUCAGUUUACAAAUGGUUUCUAAGUUUCUGCAAUUUUGUGUUUGUUUCUUUCUCAAUUUGUGUUUUGGAGAACACGACUGUUAUUUGUACUCUAAGCUCUUGCUUGUUUUGCUAUGAUUUCAUCAAUUUUUGAUGUCUAUACUUUGAGAGUGCUCCAGAGAUGAGUUGGUAUAAUGGACCGUAGAACUUGAGAACAAGAUUUGGUUGCUUUGAUGUUUCUUAUGAUAGAGAGAAUACUUCUUUGCUUUCUUUUUGAAGCCUUUCAUGUCUUGUAUAUAGUUCGCUGUGAUAUGUUGCUUGUCUUUGAUUCAGUUUAAAAUGUGAUCUGUUUUCACGAUAUCAUGUCUUUCACUUUUGCUUAGGUUCUUAGUGUGUUUUGUUCUUUGAAUUGCUAGCUUCCUACUAUGGUUUUUUGGUCUGAUUGGUGAUAUUCUUUUAAACCAUUGACUUCCAUGGAUGUUUGGUUUUAUUUUUAUGGAGAUGAUGAUAUGAACUUGUUGAUUUCUGUUUUUUAUAGAUGACUAUAUAUAGGAAGUUCAUAGAACGCAAACUCCACCCUUGGCGUAACAAGAAACUCUACCGUCCGCGUAAGAGAAGAAGAAGACGGAUAAAUGAAGACAUUGUUCUGCCUCCGGCAGAUGAAGACAUCGUUCUGGCUGACACAGUUCUGCCUCCUGGAGAUGAAGACAUCGUUCUGCCUCCGGCAGAUGAAGACAUCGUUCUGGCUCCUGUCGUUCUCGCUCCUGCAUCUGCAGACAUCGUUUUGCCUCCAACUACUAAAGAGUACAGACACAUAAGGCUAGAAAACGGUAUGGAAGCCAUUCUUGUCUCCGACCCAAUGGCUACUAAGGCUGCAGCUUCAUUGAGCGUUAGAGUAGGGAGUUACCUUGAUCCCGUGGAAUUUCAAGGAAUGGCACAUUUCCUUGAACACAUGCUUUUCCUGGGUUCUAAGAAAUUUCCGGGAGAGAACCAGGUAACAUUGUAAACCGCCAGUAUUAUUUAACCAUAAGAACAUAGAUGUCUGGUAAUGCUAAAUGUUUUUGUUUCUUUCUAGAUUUUCAACUUCUUGGCUGAGAAUGGAGGCUCAGCAAAUGCUUCAACAGUCAAUAUGAGUACUCAAUACUAUCUGACUGUUCAUCCAGAUUCCCUCCGAGAAGCUUUGGACAUGUUUUCACAGAUGUUUAUUUCUCCAUUACUAGAAUCCAAAUCUGUAGAAAAAGAAUUAGAUGCGGUUAAUGCAGGUUUGUGUAAAUAGAAUCCAGACUUAAAAGCUGAUCCAUUAAAUUUCAUUUAUGUUAAUUCGUGACUGUUACAUUGUAUUUGCAGAAUUUGAACUUAAUAAAGACCACGACAGUUGGCGUCUUAGUCAGCUUAUGGCUCACACAGCGAGAGAUGGACAUCCUAUACAUGGGUUUAUGAUCGGUAAACUUGCACACUAUAAUUACAAUAUUUUUAAUUAUCUAUUAUUUUGGGUUGUAAAUUAAUAUUUUCAUCUACCAGGGUCUAAAACAUCGUUGGGCAAGAACAUGACUGAUCUUCGUAUGGAAACUGUCAAGUUUUUUAACAAGUUUUAUCUUGGCGGUUUGAUGAAGUUUUCUGUAACAGGAAAAGGUAUAUUCUUGAAUUUUCAGUUUUUGUGCCUCAUGCUUUUUCUAAUUUCUAAUUAAUACUGAUAUGAUGUUAAUCAUUGUUUCCAGCAAAUCUUGAUGUGCUAGAGAGUUGGGUGAAAUUAUUUUUCUCUGAUAUCAAAGAAGGGACAACAUGUGUUGUACCUGAAUUCGAUGCAAGUCUUCCUAUUUGGAAUCCUAGGUCUCUCUAUGUGCUAGAGGCUCGUGAAUAUUUUCAGUUUUUGGAUGUUACAUGGAUGAUACCAAGUAGGUUUCAUUCCCGUUCGAGAAGGCUGGAAGUUUAUCUAGUUCAAUUAUUAGGACAUGGUGAGUUCUUUCUGAUAGUUCUUACUGAUUGAAUCUAGUUAACUACUUAUUGAUAUUUAUGUUUUAAUUUAGUGAGCAAAGGAUCCCUGUCUGCGUUUUUGAAGAAGCAAGGAUUGGCAUUUUCGGUAGAAGCUACUAGUGGUGUAUUUGGCGACUCGGUGAUUGGCACUGAUAUAUCUGUUCGGGUGGAUCUCACUAGGUCUGGUUUUGAAAAGGUACUCUCAAUCAAAGUUUAUAAUUAAUUUUGAUUAUGAUUUAUGUUAUCUUAUUCCGAAUUUAAACUAAUAUAAUUUGUUCAUUUAUUAUACAGAAAUAUGAGAUCGUUACAUACAUUUAUCAGUAUCUCAAGUUGUUGAGGGACACGCCUCCAGAAGAAUGGGUUAUAGAGGAAUAUCAAACGACAUUGAGAUCGCAAUUUGACCUUUUUGACAGCUCUGAUACAGCACCAGAAGAAUUAGUAAAUAGUCUUUCAGGUUUGUAAUUAUGUAUCUUCGUAUUUUCGUAUUUAUCUAUAUUAUUGCUGUGGUGAACUUAAUUUGGAAUUUUCUAAUAUGUAGAGAACAUGCUUCAUUAUGAGAUAAGAAACGUCCUUUCUGGGCAUUAUGGAAUGAAUAUGGAGUGGAAACCUGAGGAGAUUCAAGAAGUUAUGGAGCAACUCACCCCUAUCAAUAUGAGGAUUGACUUAAAAUCAAGAUCAUUCAGCUUAUCAACAGGUACAGGAUAAUUUGUUUAAUGUAUUUUUUCUCACAUAUUCUCAUGGUAAUUUUUAUUUGUUUCAGGAUGUAGGAUUGAACCUAUAUACAAUUCACUCUACACUGAAGAGGAAAUUCCACAGGAGUUUCUGAACCAAUGGGAGAAUAUUCAGCAUGUUGAUGAUGCAUUGCAUAUGCCAUCCAAGAACAGAUAUACAUUGUCUCCUCCCUUCCUUCUAAGAGAUGUUACUUUUGAAGGUGAAGAUGUCUCUCUCAUCGUGGAUACUCCUUUCAUGAAGAUGUGGCAUAAACACAAGAAGGUGUUGCCGGUAGCGAAGUUCUGCAUUUUCACAAAGCCUAUGGAGUCUGGAGGUGAUAGCUUUGAUAGAGAUUUGAAGUCUAGACUCUUUGUGGAUCUCCUUGAGGAUGAAUUGAGUGAGAUAAUAUUCUUGGUAAGUGUAUUCUCUUUCUCCUUAUCCCAUUGAAAUUUUGGGUUGUCUUUUAUUUAUUGAUAUUGUUAUACUUUGUUUACAGGCUAAAUCAGCGGGUAUGAAGAUUGAUUUAACCAGUGUUAGUGACAACCGGCUAGAGUUGGGAUUUCAUGGCAGCAUACAAAAGUUGGGUCUAUGUGUUUCUCAAGUUUGGGAGAAGUUUUUUGACUUUCAGCCAACUGUCGACAGACUUGAGGUAUUAUUCAAUUUUUAUCUACUAAUUUAUACAAGUUGUUGCAUAAGUUUUAUGAAUGUUUUAAUUUGUAUUUCAGAUUAUUAAAGAGAAGAUGGGAGAAAAUGCAGAUGAGCAGCAGAUGGAACGUUUGAGUGGAUAUUCUCUUAAUGAUCUCCAAAACUACAUCAGACAUAAGCGUUCCCAGGUAAAAUACUUACUUUUAGUAUUGUAGCAAUGGUUUGCUGUUUUAUGUCUGAUGAUUGCCAUGUUCUGUAGAUAUAUCUUGAAGGUCUGUAUUUCGGAGACAUUUUGAUAUCUGAAGCAAAAAGUAUCUCAAACUUUUUCAAGACACCGGGGAUACCUUCACUCCCAGAGAAUUUGAGAGACAAAGAAGAAGAGAAAAAACAAUUUGUGGCUAAACCUGCCCAAAAAGUCUUCUAUAAAAACAAGAUUAAUAAUAUUGCAAAGGUGCAAGAGAAACCCUAACUUCUACUGUUAUAAGUUUGUUAAUGAAUUGAAUAUAUAAUCGGUUGUUUGUUUUUUUAGGUUUCCUAUCAUGUAGGAUGCCAAAGCGAUGAAGUAAAGGAUAUGGCAAUGUUGAAUCUUCUUAUUUCCUUCAUAGAGGACAGAGUGUAUUAUACGCUAAGGUUAGUUCUGUUCAAUAUUUGUAAUGAGGUCAAUGUUGGAAUUUGCAUUAAGAUUUUAUUUGCUUUAGGACUGAGGAAAGGCUUGGAUAUUCUGUUUGUUGUGUACCUAAUUUGACCUAUGCGGGAGUUGGAUUUGACAUUAAAGUAACCUCUCCGGCGUAUUCACCUGAUCAUCUGUGGAAACGGAUACGCAAUUUCGUAAAGAGGCUUGGUAAUUGGCUGGUAUGUCUUUUUAAUAGAAAUUAUUCAUCCUGUCUAUUAUUUAAUAUCAUUCGUGAUCAUCUAUUAUCAUUUACAUGGUCGUAUACUUGAUAAAAUGGAGUUAGUGAUGUAACCUUCAACGGGUACCGAAGCGGGGUGAUUCGUGAUGUCUCUAGUGAUGAAGGGAAGAACAUAUGGGAAGAGAUUCGUGAUCAAAGGUAGAGUUCAUCAAAAUCAAAUACAUGACAGUGUAUUUUCUUUUUCUUUGUGCUUUGAAGAUACUGACCUGUGACGGUUUUAUUUUCAGGUAUAAAUUUGAUCAUUCCUCUGAAGUAAAAAGGGAAAUUGGGUUAAUCAGUAAACAAAUGUUAAUCGAUUGGUACAACAGACAUAUUCGAGGUGACCCCCGUACUCAUGCUCAGCUCUGUUAUGGACGCGACACUAAAAGAAACUUUGGGAAGAGGAAAUGUAUUACUCGUGCAAGAAGCAGGUUCGAGCUAACUGGGAGGAGGAUGAAAUUACGGAAGCACCGUCUGCUGUGUUCGAAACUGCGUUUCUCCACUGGCACCAUUUCCAAAAACAACAAGUUGAUUUAGUAUUAACGAUUUGGGUAAACUUGUUUUGUAGACACUUGUUAACAGAAUGGGUUGAUGUUUGUUUUGCCCCAACUCUUUUUGUCCCCACCUAUGUGUGCUUGGCUUACAUUCCUCGGCAUAGAGUAGCCAUACUUGUUUUCAACAACUUUUUGUAAGCAUCACUCUAUUUGCUUAUUAAUCUCCUUAUCAGGCGCUUUCAAGUUUUGUUUUUGAGUUUUCUGCAAUGUAUUCGAAUCACUGGGAAAGUGGGCUUCUGCAUUUGUCUUCUGCCUUGACUUUCUCUACUUCUUGCAGUUUUCAAAUAAAUAACCGUGCAUUGUCUAUAAUGCUCGUCAAGUAAUUCUUGAAUUUUAUUGCAUUCUUGGUGUCUUAUCACUUGUAGAAUAUCUUGUGUUCUACUUUGUUGAGUUUACUGGCAGUGCUCUGCAUCUGGGAAGUAAUGUACCAAUGCGUACGAUGUUUCUAGAAUAUGCUGUUGCUCUUGCUAUUGUUGUUGGGAUAGUGCUCUUUACAGGAUGCAAGUCUUUUUGUUUGGUGAUUUGGUACAAGUUACACUUGAUUGUCUUGAAUAAUCUUUCUGAUAUUAUGAUUUCCUUGUGUUCUCUUCUAAUUAAAGUACUUUUGGUGGCUUUGUCUACCUACCUUCAUCAGGUGACCAAAGUCUAUUAUUAUUCGAUCACAAGGUUCAUUGUGUUGGUAUUUUUGUUGAUUAGCUUUUCACAUAUACAUUAGGGUCAGUAACAUACUUAGUGACCUGACAAGCUAAGUCAUCUAAAUAUUUUCAGGAAGCAAUUGGACCAGGGCUAGAGCUAUGAAGAGAGCAGAAAAAUGUGAAAGCAGUUGAAAAUGACAACCGUCAUAUCUACAUGUUUGAGAUCUGAUUUAAAAUCUGUUCUAUGUCUGACAAACUUGGCUGAUGCCACUAGUGAUGUUGGUUACUAUAUGUAGAGGGCUUUUGGCCUGUAGGGUGCAAUUAUAUUGGUAAUCAUUCCUAGUAAUAAUCCAGCUAAAAUGUAAAAACCGGUGCUAUAGUUUCGUUUAGAUUGGCACCCUUACGCAUUAUACAUUGUAGAUUUAAAGCCUUAACUGGAUUUCACUGCAGGAGUUGACCUAUUAGAAGACAUGUAUCUGCAAAUUGAUUGUUGAUGUGGCUUUUCCUUGGUUAAGCUCUCGCCUUUUCAUCAAAAAAUGCUUUUGAAGCGUUGAGUACAAUAGAGAGCUUGGUUUUGUAUUUUUUGUGUAUCAAUUGUAAACAUUAAAAGAGGACAAUAAAAUGAAAUAGUAAAAGUUGCAGACUUAUUCAAAUUCUUCUCUACUCCUACACUGUGUAUACCUUGUUCCCUUGCUUGAUCUGACUCUAUGUUUGAUAUUGUGGCGCUGGGGAAAUGAUGCUUGGCUUUAAGCUCGUCUUCGUUACCAUUCAUCCAAUGAAGUAGUGUAUUUUAUGAUCUGAAUUCUGAAGUGCAUUAUGCUGUUUCAGAGGUCUUUCUAUUUGUCCUAAUGUUCUUGUCUUCAGUGGGCAUGAAUAACAUCGAUGAUUCUCACGAGUGGUUAUUGUGGCUCAGUUCUGCCUACUGCAUUUAGAUACUAUGCCUCAAGCCACCUAGUAUUGAAUAACAUAGAUGUAUGAGGAAAAAGUGUCAUGUAACUAAAAAUCAUUCAGGCCACCAAAGGCUUAAUGAGUCAUAAGCGGGUUUGCUAUUGAGAAUGUACCAGAAGCAAACCAAUUGAUCUUGUGGACUUUACCGUUGCCAAAAGCAUUCAAGUAAGAUGAUUCAAAACAUGGCAUGCUAAACUAAUUAAGUACAAGUUAUUUGCAGAAUCACAAUAUCCCUCUUACAUAUAGAAUAACAAUAAAAACCUCAAAGGAUUGGAGAUAAUUUGCUAACGAUGUGAAUCAUUUGCCGCAACAAAAUUAAUCGUGGAUUGAGAGAAAAUUUCUAGUUAUAACUACAUAAACCAACAAAUCAAUGAAAAUUGUGUCCUCCACUAACAUUAAACUAACCAGGAAAAAUCGAAGCAACAUCUUAUGUCCAGCUAUUACCGAAGGAGACAAAGAUUUAAUCAUCAUAGUAUCGCAAGCUAAAGAUAUAACUUAGAAAACAUCACUUAAUUAAUAAUAUAUAUUACAAAACUUAAAAGUUGAAACUUAUUGGAGAACUUGUAUUUCCAUAAGACAGCGGCUUAGCUUUAGGUGGUGGCAUUGGGGUUAACCUCGACCAACUUCUUAUUCUUCUUCUUCUUCUUCUCUUUGACCUCGACCAACUUAUUCUCCCUUUUCUUCAUCUCCUUCUUUGUGAUCUUGGCCAACUUCUUAUUCUUCCUCUUAUUCUUCAUAGCUUUGCGCUUGUUGGGGAUUCGCAACUUUGAACUUGAUGCGAGAUCGUUAUCGAUGCUGACUCAGAUGAAAUCACAAUUUAACAACCAAUUAAUUAUAGUCAUAUCGAAUAAUUAUAAUAAUAACCAAACCUAGUACUUUGAUAUACAUAUCUUUAGACUAGAGAUAUAUUAAAAUAAAUGGAAUCGAUACCUUGACGUCCAGCUACUAGGCUUGAAAUCCCGAUCAUCCCUCAUUCGAAGGAAAGAGUAAUCCGAACUUUUAUGAGAAACACCGCAACAAAUCUGAUACCGUUUAGGUGCGUUUUUCGUAUUAAAUGGUUUUGGCGGAACGUCCAUAUCUAUUGUUGCUCUGAGUUCCGGCUUCCGAGUUCCACAAUGCUAUGAACCCUAAUAUUACACAUGUAUGUCUAUAUAUCAAUAUAUAUGGGCUCUUCAACUCCUGAUCCAGCCCAUACUAUAAUGGCCUAACUUCUCUUCUAUCAAAGCUUAUAAUAAUUGAUCCAGCCCAUACUAUUAUGGCCCAACUUCUCUUCUAUCAAAGCGGAUUACGCAAGAUCCAUCAAGGCAGCUGCAAAAUUUCGGUUUAGAUAGAUUUAAUGUUAGUGAACCGGGUUUUGUUUUUUGGUUUACUUUGAUUCAUUAGAUGAGAAGAAUUACAAUACAUGGAGCAUUGAAAUUACCUUAGCUUUAGAUGCCAAGAAUAAGCUAGUAUUUGUUUAUGGUAGCAUUCUAUGGUUUGAUUAUGCUUCAGCCAUUUCGAAAGAUUUGUUGAUUCGAUAUCAUGUGACUAAUCUGCCUAGAUCAUAUCAGCUUACACAAAUUUGGGCACUGCAGCAAGGGUCAAUGGAUUUCUCAAAUUACUAUACAAAGCUGAAGACGUUAUAGUAUGAUUUAGACUCCACAGAUUGUGUCAAAACUUGUCACAAUUGUAAGUGUUGCAAGGCCGUCUCAACCAAGAAUCAACAUGCUCGCAUUAUCAAGUUCCUGGCUGGCCUAAAUGACUAUUUUCCAAACAUUAGAAGUUAGAUAAUCAUGAAAAAAAUAUUAUCCAUGAGAUAGCGGUUUCAAAUAUUCCAUUUUCAUCUCUUUAAUUCUGUUGUUAAAUGUUGACAAAAAAAUUCUGUUGUUAAACAUUUGUUUAUGUCGUAUUUGACUGUCGCAUUUUAUUUUGAACUAGGUGAAUACCCGUACGUUACGUGCGGAUUUUUCUUUUCAAUUUUUUUUUCAAAUUUUUUUAUAUAUAAUUUUAUUAAAAUUAAUAUAGUCAUCACUUGUUACUUACUUACUUGUUAAUAUUUUAUUCUAAAAAUUUUAAAAUAUUAAUUUAAAAUACAUAUUGAAUAUUACUUAAUAAUUUAAAAUUAUAUUAAAAAUAAUAAGUAUCAUUCAAUAUUUUUAAUUACUUAUAACAUAAAUUUUUGUUUAACAUUUACACAAAUAUUAAUUAAUAAUUAAUUAAUAAAAAAUUAAAAUAAAUAUAAUCAUCAUUUCAUUUGUUACUUAUUAGUAUUUUAUUAUAAAUAAUCUUAAAAAAUUAAUUUAAAAUACAUCUCGAAUAUUAUUAAGUAAUAUACAGUUAUAUAAAAAUUUAAUACAUAUCUAUUAAUAUUUUUAAUCAGUUAUAACAUAAAUGUUUGUUUAACAUUAAUAUAAAUGCUAAUUAUGAGUCAACUAAUAAAAUAAACUUUUCAUAUUCUUUAAGUGCUUUAAAAUUUAAUAUUAAAAUAUACUAAUUAAAAUUUAAGUGACAAGUGUCAACUUCUCCAAUGCUGAUGUGUCAAGCCUAUAGGGUUUUCAUCCGCCAUUGAAGUAGAAGGUGGAGGAGGAGAAUCGAUCGAUGGGUUUGUUGUUCUGAUGUUUAUCGAGGAUGGAGGAAGCUGAUCUUCGAAAUUUCAAAGCCUCAAAAUUAGAUUAGAGAUUUUGGGGUUUAUGGUUUGUUUUUGUGAAGAAAAAGAGAAAUAGGAGAAAAGUUUUACGGAGUGAAAUAAUUAUUAUCUGUGUGUUUUAUAAAAAUUUUAAUGAGAUGAUGUGUCAAUGAUGUGUCAAAAAAUUAGGUGGCUAAGUGUUAAGCUGAUGAGACUUAACCCAAUCUUUAUAUAAUAAUCGUUUUAGGAUAAAUACAUUGUUCUUUUUGGCAAAAAACUGAUAGAUAGCCUUUACCAUAGAACAUAAACUAGUCAAGUGUCGCUAUAGUUUUGACCUUAUAUACAUUAGGUAUGGAUUGAUAUGAUUAAAUAUGAUGUAGAAAUAUCGAUAGAGAAAGAAAUAGAUCAUUAUUUGGUAUCUACCAAGGUCGCUUUCCUAAUGAAUACGUCAUUAUCCAACAUCGCCUGAAAUCAAGCAAUUGGUCUUAAAAAAGACCAAAUCUAAGCAAAAAGUGUUGCAAAGACAAAGGAGCACGAUCAUUUAAACUUCAACAUCAAAACUGUUUUUAUUUGUCACCUAUUUUGACUAGAUGGUUGGUAUAAAGCAGAUUGUUCUUGAUGAGUAUGACGAGGAUACAUGUAUGUAUCUAUGAAUGAUGGUCGAUCUACAAGAAUGUUAAGGAGAGAAUCAUAAACUCCUUGCUCUUGUAAGAAAAGAAUCAUUACCGUAUCUGUUAACUUUGGUUGAGACUUGGAGACUGAUUAAGAUGAUGAUGAUUCACCCGGAUUUUUAAGCUGGUUUCCUUUUUCGGCUGGUUUCUCGCUACCUGUAGUACCGGGCUGCUGUCUUAACUGGAAAAUACCAGUCAGUCCCCGUGCCUUAGCAAGUUGUUCAAGCUCUAACAGUUUGCUCUUGAGAUCCGCGACUUGUUUUUCCAGUUCUUCAUCUUUUGUUCUCAACUCCUGUAAAUGCAAAGAGUUUAAAAAACUCAAACCAUUCAAUAACCAAACCUCAACAUUGUUACUUCUGGUUAUCAUUCUAUCUCAUUUGAAGUUCUGAACAAACACACAAGUUUUCCCGGUUUCUUAACUGUCCAGUCCUGUUUUGUUUAGUUGUUUACAAGAACGUUCAUAUAAAUCAAUCCUAUAGCAGCACACAUUUAUGGCAUUGUCCAGUUAUAUAUAGAAUAUUCUUCCUGAGCAGGUCGAUGUAUGCUAAUUUGAUGAACAUAUAUGCAUCCCAAUCUCAGUUGAAGUACUAACAGUACGUAACAAAGAUAAAUCCUGAAGGGCACAAGAAAAGGUACACUUAGAAGGCAAAAAUUAUCUUCCAAAAAGUGUUCUUGUGUACCUCUAGUUCUUGCUUGCGCGCUUCCUCUUUUCUUGCUUCUGACCGCGAACUUCUUUGCACCUCAAAAACAACAACGCCUCCUCCAACCUGCUCAUAGAAUCUAUAAGUUCUACGGAACAAUUGAGAAUUGCAUAGAAGAAUGGUUCUCAAGGCCAGCUAAAUUUUUCAAUUUAUCCAACUUUGACACCACCAAAUUGAUAUGGGACAUGGAAGAAACUAACAAUUUUUUAGUUAAGUUAUAAGGGCAGGUCCAUUCAAAGGGAAGCGCCUUAUGGUAUCAGACAAAACUUACUAUGAAAACAAAAGCAAGAAAAGAUGGUACCCAAAAAAACAGCAUUGCAGACGAUGAUUGAGUAGAACCAAAUAAUUUCUCAGCCAUCAGCCAUUUUCAUCAAAAACGGUCUUUUACACUAUGCUUCUCUUAAACAUCUUGACCAGGUAAAAUGAUCCAGUUUCUCAAGGCCAAAAUAAUCCCUUUUCAAAUAGACCAUUACCAAUUCAUGAAACGCAACUAACCAUUCAUGAGCUAAAACAGGUCCAUGAAGGUAAUUCAAGAUUCAAUGCUCAUCAAAAGCAUCACCAUAAACUUGUCCGUUUGAAAGAGAUAAUAUGAAAGAGGAUAAACAAAAUGCUGAGCAAAGAGAUAAUACCGCAAAGAUAAAGAGCUCUCCGAUUAGGUCUACAGCAGCUUGAACAGCCUUUUCCUCGUCCAAGGGACGAAUCUCCACAUCAGUGGCAUGACCAUAUAUCCUUCUUUGCAUCUGCGUCGUUAUUCUGUGGUUUCUCUGGUCACAUUUAUCAAACAACACAUCAAUCCCAGAUCACAAACGAAUGUUCCACUUUCAACUAUCAUUAUUAUCCAAAACCUAACCACGACUUAUCUACAACAAAUCCUAGAUUAUGGUCAGAAGCUCAGGAGACGUUAUCAGAAUCAAAACGAGAAAUUUUAAGAAAAUCAAGAUCAAGGAACGCAAAGACUAUAAAAGGGAAUUAGAAUCUCAAAGAAAACGAGGAGACAGAGAGAUAAACGGGAUUCAAAAAUCACCUGAGCGAAGUUGAUGAUGAAUUGACGAAACUUGGGAUGAACCUUGGCUUGGUGCUUAAGCUGACUAGCUAAGGGCUUACUUAUGGUUUUUACAGCUAGGGUGCCCAGUUUCAUCAACGGCAACACCAUUUUUGAGUUCCAAAAACCUCACAAAAAGAGGAAUUUUCAGUUGAUUCGAACAGAGAGGGAGAGAGAAUGCGAGGGGUCUGGAACUAAUCUGGGUGAGCAAAAUGUAUUAUAAGAGAAGAGAAAUCGCCAUGGGAUUAUUGAAAACUCGUAGGAAGGUUAGAUCAAGGGUUUUUCGAAUUUUUUACAGAUGGGAUUUGACGAAGAAGAAGAAGAAAGAGAGGCUUAAGAGGCUGACUCGCUUGAAUGGGGUCUGAAACGGGAAGGCAUCUUCUUUCUUCUACCACCAUAUUAAUAUUAUUGUAUAUUUGUCAAAAUGGACCCUCUUGUCUUUCUUUUUCUUCUUUCGCAAGUUCGAUUUGUUGAAUACAUUACAUUUUUAGACCCUAUUUCCACGGAAUCGAAACUUGACUUUACUUUGUAAGUUUCUUUCUUUAAUAUUUUCAAGGAUAUUUGUUUAUGUGACAAUUCAGCUCAUCUCGAAACAUGCUGUAUAACAGAUUGGAUUGCAGGGAGGUGUUCUUUCUACCCAUUAGCUUAUAUAUAGUGGCAAGUUUGAUAAUACAGUAUUAGAUUGUGUUGAGAGUCCAAAAAAAAUUAGACUUCAAUCUCAAAGAAGUACCAGAAGGAAAAAAAAGUAGAAGUAGGAUCGGAUAAGUAGAGAAAGAUCAGAGAACUUUAUGUAAUACUAUGUUCCUUUCUGUUUCAGCACAAACAUAACAGAAGUAACACAUCAAAAUACCAUCUCUAAGAUUCGGCUGCUCGGUUUUAGGUCAAGAAGACGAGAACGAAUAGGAUGAUGAACAAAACGAGCAAGAAACAUAUCAUCAUCAUCUGCCCUUUCGCUCCAGCUUUCUUCAUUACCAUUCCCACUUUUUUCUGUCACAAAAACAUAUUUUUAAUUCUUUCAACUUUCCCAUUUUCUCAUCACUUACGAAAAAAUAAGACCUUUAGGGUUGGUUUUACCUGAACAAAGUCAAGCCGGUUCUUCGUACUGUCCAUCUCUGUACCCAAUUCAUCUAUGAUUCUCUCCUGAAACACCCAAAUAAUAAAAAAAAACUUGAUGUUUCUGAUCUCUGCUGACACUAGUAUUGUUAUCUCUUUCCCAUCAUUACUAACCUGUGCAACGAGUUCAUCGUGUAUAGUAAGCCCCACUCCUCCGAUUCUCUGUACACUUUUACUGAGCUCAUCUAGUUCUUCGUCUUGUUGCCUGAAGUGACAAAAAUGAUGUCAAGUUAUGGCAUUUCUCAGAGAAGCUAUGCAACAAUCUUUAUCGAGCAUUUGCGGUCCAAAAUCAUGAUUAACCUCAUAUAGCAAACAAGAGAUUGCAAGAAGCAGUGAAAGAGCUAUACUUUAUCAACAGCAUUUGCCUAUCUGAUUCUGACUGUACAAAACCGUCAUCAUCUCUCCCUCCGUACUGAUCGUAUCUAUUUGCUUCAGUCGAGUUUGGCAUUCUCAUUAGUUCUCGGCGCACUUCACUUGCAUUACCGGCUCCAGCAUUACCCUUUCCAGCUAGAACACCAGUUUUCACAUUCCGAACCUAUUAAAAAAGUAUUGUUUUUUUGGUCUUGCACAGGUCAACUAACAACAAAUUUAUGAGACACUCUCUAAAGCAGCAAAAGCAGUAUUCAUUACACACUUAAGAGACAAUACCUGUGUCCUAGCAUUACUAGUCCAUCUUCUCCGUCUUUCAAGCUCAGCUUCAUCAAUGCCAUACAAUGCAGGAUCUUUUGCUGCAACAGUGACCGCUUUUUCCAGCUCAUCUACCUUCCUAUCAAUAAAGACAGCUUCAAUACCCAUGAAAGGACUCUUAAUUUUAACGGAUCACUUAUUCUAUUGUAUCUUUUUGAGUAUCUAGAUAACCGAGAUUGACAUUACAUUAGCAGAAAAACAAGGGCAUAUUCAUUCUACGAAAUGAGCUAGUGUUCAGCAUCCAUCAUCCUAUUCAACAACUAAUACAAAAUACAGAUUCCAUUGACGAUAUUAACAGGAGAGUUACUAAAUACGAGUACCUGCCACUCAAUGCUUCCACAAUUAGCAAGAAUCUCCUUGGUCACAUGCACUUGAUCCCCCAUGCCGGGAGAGAUACGCUCCCAUUUGUGGAAUGUAGAUUGCAACUUAUCAAUCUAUCAAAGCACCCAUGACCAAAAAUCCCAAACAUUAAUCAGUGUCCUUCAAAUCUAAAAAAAUAAAAUCAACUCCCGCUGGCCAAUUCCAAAUAACUUACAGAGUCCUGGAUCUCUUCCUUAACAAUAUAGAAUGGAUCUUGCGCUGAAGACAUCUCGGAAUCGUACAAAUUUGUGCUACCCUGUACAGUAUACAUCAAAGAACAGAGCUGAAUUAAGCAAUAAAAUCAAAUUCCAAUCCACAAAGGAAGAACACAAGUCAAAAUGACAAAAAAUUUCCCAAAUUAUAUGAUUGAACAAAGUCACAAUGAUCAACUCGGCACAACAAUUAGAUCCUAACAAAUUCCGAUUAAAUCCUGGCUAAUCAAGGUCAAAAUUUCUACAGUAUAACGGGAAUAGCUUUAUCAAUCUCUGUACUUUAAGAUCGAUGCAAACCGUAGAAAAGAAAAAAAAAGCAGAAAAGUUGCGUUUAGAAACAGGGAAAAGUGCGAAAGCACAAUUGGUGUAAGAGAAAAAUUAAGAAGGUUUUUCUUUUACCUGAGAGGGAUUAAUCGAAAGGCGAGGCGAUGCAGAUCAAUGAAGAAGAACAAACGGCGGUGAAGUAGAAGAAUUCCGGCGUGAGAUUCGUCUCUUACACAGCAAAACGCAUCACCUGCGGUUGGCUUAGAAGAUUCGCUGGAGAGGAUCGCAGAAAACUCAACUUUGGGCUUAUUGGAGAAGCUAACAAAGCCCAUAACAGACCAUAGAGCCUUUUUAUUGUUUUUAGUAAUCAAAUAAAACACCUAAUUGCGGCAAAAAAAAAAAGAAUUUUCAAAAACUUUGAUCUGUUACUAUGCUCGUUUUAUUCAUCUAUGGAUUUGAUGAAGUGACAACACUAGUGUUAGUAUAAACUACUAAACAACAAUUCUGUAGACUUGUGAAGUAUGUGUAUCGGCUGACAAAAUCACAAAAGCCUAUGAGUUAAGAAAAUAUUUGAUAAGAAUUAAUCUCACCUAUUGACAGGAGAUCUUUAGAUAUAAGUUCAAAAAAAAUUAAGUCAAACUACACAUGCUAAGAAUACUGAAUGACUCUAGUCUCUUCCCAUUGGAUGAACGGUGAUUUCUGUAUGUGUAGAGGAUAAACAAUGAUUUUAAUGAUGUGAGUCCAUAACUCAGAUAUAUACUUUUGCUUAAAUGGAUUUUUAGCAAAUGCAACAUUAUUGGGAAAGAAAUUUUUUUUUUAUAUUUUGCUUACAUUCUCUAAAAAAUAUAGGCACCAUAUCUUGAACAAUUCUUAUAAACAAACACAAAAAAAUACAUUUAAAAUAAUCAUAAUGAAAAAUAUGAACAAAUCAAUCUUGGUCGUUUGUAUCAGUUUAGUAGUGUUUCUAUCCCCAACUCUCGGUGCUAAAAUGAUGAGUAACCAGAAUGGCGAUAGACACUGUGGAAUGGCGCAAGGCAAGGUGAUAAGUUCAUGUUUGCAUCGAGAUAACGGACAAUCGAGACAAGGUGAUUGUUGUCAAGCUUUAUACGAGCUAAACUUACAAGCAGAGACGCCAAACGCACGUCAAGAUCUCUGCAGGUGUUUCCAAGAAAUUGUAUGGUUGUCUCCUUAUAAUAAACUUAUCGGGUUGCCUGAACACUGUGGUAUUUCUAAGGCGGUUCCAUUUGACACUAAAACGGAUUGUGGAAGGUACAUUACUAUAUUCUUUUUUUUUUAAAUUUUCUGUUUCUUUUAGGAAAAAAUCAUUAUUUGCGUACUAUCUGGAUAGAACUUUUGAGAUUUUCUUUCUAGAAUGAAAUUAUGUGAUGGGUAUUAAAUUACUGUUUAUCUAAGUUUUAUUAAAAUACCAUCCACCAAUUUUUUAAUUGUAGAAAAACAAAGUGGUUUUGAACUUGAUUUUUCUAAUUUGAAUCAUCGUUUUGCAGGAUUAAGCUCUGAGAAAUGUAUACAUUCGCAAUGAAUAAAACAAAAAUGAACCAAGAACCAAAAAAAAAAAAACUGAACAAGAAAAUUAUAUAUGACAAUUUACUUCCGUUUUUCUCACCGUAAUGUGCUCUAAUAUUCCCGAUUCAAUAAAACUCACUACCUCACUUUUAAUUCUCUCACAAUUAUUGCUAUAUUCACCAUAUUGACAUUUUGAGAUUAGUAUGUAUAUAAUAUUUUGGAGAGAGCCUAUUGAAAAAUUAACGCAAGUUCUUCUCUUACUAUCACAUUUGUUGCUCCCCAAUAACACCUAACUAAUAUCAGCUUUCUUACCAUUCAAACCACUCUAAUUAUAAAGCAAACGAUAUUUUGGUAAAUCAUAUGGUAAAGCACAAUAAUCAACAAGCACACUAUGUUUUACCAUA